CAGAUGCUGUAGUGACUCUUACUGAGAAACCUUGAAAGGUCGCUUGGAAAUAUAGGAGAUGUUGCAAAAAGUUCCAUUAAGAAACAUUCUGUCAUCACUUUAACUGACUACAACUGGGCCAGAGAGAGAGAGAUAUAUUUGAAAAAUCUAGAUGGACCUAUGCAUGUUACUCAGAAGUAAGUUGGACUUGGUUGAGACAGUCAAAGGAAUGCUUAUCAAAUCUGCAGAAGACACAAAGCUGAGGGAGUGGGAGCAUUAAAAACCCCUUCUAGGUAUAAUGGCAAUGAUUUGCCGCAGCAGCUCAGAAUCAACAGAGGGCUGCAGGAGCCUUGUAAAUGGUCAUCUGGUUGUUGGCAUUAAAAACUGGGGUUGGCACCAUACCAAGGAUCU